rnacentral:piRNA from 1 species
CCAGUCAGCCUUAGGAUGUCUUAUUCUGGUU